CGGCGGACGGGUGAGUAACGCGUGGGUAACCUACCCUGUACACACGAUAACAUACCGAAAGGUAAUGCUAAUACGGGAUAAUAUAUUUGAGAGGCAUCUCUUGAAUAUCAAAGGUGAGCCAGUACAGGAUGGACCCGCGUCUGAUUAGCUAGUUGGUAAGGUAACGGCUUACCAAGGCGACGAUCAGUAGCCGACCUGAGAGGGUGAUCGGCCACAUUGGAACUGAGACACGGUCCAA
rnacentral:rRNA from 1 species